AUUGAACGCUGGCGGCAUGCUUUACACAUGCAAGUCGAACGGCAGCGCGCUCUUCUUCCUGGCUGCGCGUGGCGCACGGGUGAGUAAUGCAUCGGAACGUGCCCCGUAUUGGGGUCUAACCCGUCGAAAGCCGGAUUACUACCGCAUACUACCUGCUGGUGAAACCUGGGGGCGGAUGGCCCUUUGCCUCUUUUGGGGCCGGAUGCCGGAUUUGCUAGUUGGUGGGUUAAAGGUUUACCAAGGCGACGAUCGGUAGUUGGUCUGAGAGGACGACCAGCCACACUGGGACUGAGACACGGCCCAGACUCCUAAGGGAGGCAGCAGUGGGGAAUUGUGGACAAUGGGGGCAACACUGAUCCAGCCAGGCCGCGUGAGGGAAGAAGGCCUUCGGGUUGGAAACCGCGUUUGUUCGGGAAGAAAUCCUCUGGGCUAAUAACCCGGGGGGAUGACGGUAACGGAAGAAUAAGCACCGGCUAACUACGUG
rnacentral:rRNA from 1 species